CAACACAUCCACACAAAAUAGAACCUGGGCUAGAGUGCGCGCAGAGAAUAGCAAGGCAUGGAUGAAUGUAUAGAUAUUUAUUUUUCACAAAAACAGAUUAGUGGAGAAAUCUCUGCCCCGAAAGAGCUGCUAACGGAAUGAGCAGGUCCUGCCUAGCCUAGCAUAAAGAUACCCCUCUAGCUAUUGGUUGAAGCCAGGAGUGCAUCACCACAUCCAACCAUGGCCCACUGUAAAGGUGGACUCUUCUCCUCUUUUCAUGUUCUGCUUCAGAGUGGUGUUUUUCAGCAUCUGCCAACUUAAAAUGUGUUGAGCCAUCAGACUGUACUGAAUCAUUCCAAGGCAUCAACUAAUACCUAAUACUUUCAAAGAGAUCCAAAAGAAAAAUCUGUAGUCUGAAGGACCAACAUUUCUAAUUUCUAAAGGCCCCAAGAGCUCCAUCAAGUGACUGGCAGGUUCUUAUUGACCGCUGGAAAAAACUCAGAAGGAGGCAAGUAAAAGGUCAAAUAAAAGAUCACAAGUAAUCUGCAAUACUAUGGAGCAAAGGUCAUAGGAAGGAAUUUAAAAAGCAAGCUAAAGUGAUCUACUUACUUUGGAAAAUGAAUUUCUUGAAUGCCAGAGAUGGGACAUCUGCUACAUUUGACAGAUGAACCAAGGGCACUGCUGAUCAUGAAAGACCUUGCUCAAGAACUCAAUGGAACAGUGGAAGGAUGCCUUUCAAAUUGUUCCUCAGGCCCUGUUCACUUCACAGUUGGAUUAUUGCUAUGUGCUCUACAUGGGACUGCCCUUGAAAACUACCCAGAAGCUAUAUCUGGUUCAAAAUACAGUGGUGUAAGCAGGAUCAGCUCUCCGUUCUACUGAUGUUGAAUUAAGUCCAGUCUUCUGGUACCAGCAGAGGUCUCCUCCAGAGUGACUUUUAUCUGUAAAUGCUCCAACACUGGAAGUUUUUAAGAAGAUAUUGGAUAACCAUUUGUCUGAAAUCGUGUAGGGUUUCCUGCCUAAGCAGGGGUUGGACUAGAAGACCUCCAAGGUCCCUUCCAACUCUCUAUUCUAUUCUAUUCUAUUCUAUUCUAUUCUAUUCUAUUCUAUUCUAUUCUAUUCUAUUUUCUCUGUACGUGGCCUCUGUGACCUUCAUCAUUCACAAGAAAUUCACCCCAAGAAAGAAGGUGGAAUAUCAGCUAUGCAUUGUAGGCUUGCAUUUGCUAUGAUGUAUGGAAUUAGGUCUGGUAGUUACAGUAAAAUAUAAAUUUCUCUCCUCUGA